rnacentral:rRNA from 1 species
UACGUAGGGGGCGAGCGUUGUCCGGAUUUACUGGGCGUAAAGAGCGCGUAGGCGGAGAUCUAAGCGUGGCCUGAAAGCCCCCGGCUCAACCGGGGAGUGCGGCUGCGAACUGGGUUUCUUGAGGACGAUAGAGGAGAGUGGAAUUCCUGGUGUAGCGGUGAAAUGCGUAGAUAUCUGGAGGAACACCGGUGGCGAAGGCGGCAUCCUGGACCGACACUGACGCUGAGGAGCGAAAGCCAGGGGAGCAAACGGG